ACACUGACUUCUUUUGAAGUCACAGAACAAAAAAAAAAAUACAUUU
rfam:Egretta garzetta contig78313, whole genome shotgun sequence.